rnacentral:pre_miRNA from 1 species
UUUGAGCAACACUCUCAGAUAACUUCAAACAGAGCCACUGGUGAUGAUUUAGUUCAUAAGUGCUUCUCUUUGGGGUUGUCUUAGCGG